CUAUACCACGCUGAAUACACCGGUUCUCGUCCGAUCAUUGAAGUUAAGCUGCGUUGGGCGCGGUCAGUACUAAGAUGAGUGGCCGCGUGGGAAACACCGCGUGAUG